GACGGAGGAUGCAAGUGUUAUCCGGAAUCACUGGGCGUAAAGCGUCUGUAGGUGGUUUGAAAAGUCCACUGUUAAAAAUUGAGGCUUAACCUCAAAGAUGCCGUGGAAACUUUCAAACUCGAGUAUGGGUAGGGGUAGAGGGAAUUUCCAGUGGAGCGGUGAAAUGCGUAGAUAUUGGAAAGACCACCGAUGGCGAAGGCACUCUACUGGGCCAUUACUGACACUGAGAGACGAAAGCUAGGGGAGCAAAUGGG
rnacentral:rRNA from 1 species